AAUGGAUUCUAUCAAUAAAAAAGAUAGAUGCAGCUGCUUCCACGUAGCUGCUGCGGUCAAAAAGGAGCCCAGAGUGACAGUUUUCCUUGACGGUCGCCAUUCUGUUUGCUGUAACCGAUCUGCAACAUUUCAGGAAAAGACAGUG
rnacentral:snoRNA from 1 species